CUAACAGUAACAUGAUAUCAUGAAUAGUUAAGCUGGACUGACCUUUUGUGAAUUUGUUUUUUUUUUCUGAGCAUAUUUUGAAAUUCACCUAAAUUUCAUAUUCUGGACCAAUAUUAUUGCAGAUAAUUAACCAAUAACUGGUAAUGAAUUUUGAUACAAGAACUGGGAUGUUGCAAAAAAAAAGUAUAAGUCAGUUUCGAAUGGAUGACAUUGGGUAGAAAUUAAACUAAGGCCAAACAAUUUUUUUGAAAAACUACCUUGUGUAAUUAUGUGAAUAAAAAAAAACAAA